CUGUGCGUCAACACUCGUCUCAUUUAUCCUCAUUGAGGAACAAGGACGUCUUAACAUCAGAAGCGAUCUUUUUUAUCAAAUGAAUAUCUUGUUUUCAGGAAGUUGAAACGUUUUACUGGAAACCUCUCUGUUUGGAAAACAACCUUUGUGAAGACCAACGGCUUCUUCCACAGUGGCUGACAGAAAAAACAACGAUUGCUCAACAUUCAGUCGGGGUUGUGCACACUCUCUAGCAAACUCAUUGAAAAUCCAUUUCCAGCCCUCUGGAGACGUCAAAGCCAAACUCUGUCUUGUUAUUCUUGAAUCAUUCUUCAGCGUGUCCGCCAGAUAACAUGCCAUGUCACGGCUUCUCAUCCAUCUCUGCGAGUUCUCCGUGUAACACAGCUUGGGUGUGGAGAAGACUUGUGUGUCGGGAUGUGUGUCUUUGUCAACGGGACAUCAAUCAAUGUCGAGCGGUGAGAAACUCCGACACAUUAACCGCAACUUAUUCAUGCCACAGGGGAAGACCAAUGUUUCCAUGAUAAUGACGGAUGAGAAAUAAAACAACCUCUGUGAUCAUCUUCAUGUAAACACAAACACAAGUCGACCGUGUCAGUUACAAUCUCAAAAUAAUCACAUGAGAAGCAGGAAGACUUCAGCAGGACCUCCACAUAAUCUCAUUCAUGUCACGAGUAACCAAAGUCAAAUCAGCCAGAUCUGGUCUGUAAGCUUGCUUUACGACAGGACAACAAGAAAAAAAGAAUGUCCUUACACGAGAUGUCAUUUCAGCGAGAGCUUCUGGAACGUUUUCAUGAGAAGAUCUGUGUCUUGUGUGUAAGGUGAUGUCAGACAUGUUUUCACAUACAGUCACGCAGAAGUUCGGUUUGGAAUACUACAGAGACAUGUCUCAUGCACAGCGGCAACCUUUGGAUAAAAAUUUUUUCGUCUUUGGAUGGACUGCAGAGGAAGAUUUGAGGUCUAAAGGUUACAAAGCGUUUUAAUUUCAAAACACUUUCCAUCACGUGUUUUCCCUUCAAUCCGCACUUGAUACAAGACCAAUAAAAAGUUACAGCAGCGACCGGCAACGCUUUCCUGGAAUGUUUUCUUUUCCUUUACCUGGCAGGAACAUUCCUGGUUUUCCCAACGUGUGAUCCAACCUGCGAGAGGAAAAACAGCAGGAAACUGUGAAAUACACAGCAAUUGUUGGGAAACUCCGCCCACAGGGUUCAUACGGAGGGGCGAAAUGUGCCGAGGAGGGGGUCGUGGUGGCGAGGUCAUCUCACCUUCUCUGGAGUUCUUUGAUGCGGACCAUCAUGUUGAGAUGCCCCUGCGAAUACUGCUCGAUCACGUCUCGCACGUCGUACGGUUUCCUCGCUUGCUGUGGGACAGAGACGGAGUCGGAGGAAAAGCCAGAGGAAGCAGUGAAAGGGAGGACGGCCUGGCAGCAGAUCGUUUUUGGCAGCGGGAACGCGGCCGAGGAGAAAAACGAGGGAAGGAAAGAGAUGAAGCAAAAUGAUGACUGAGAGUUUAUCUUCUCCCUGAAGCCCUCAAGAUAUCGGGUGACCGGGCACACAGAGUUCACAGUGGGAAAGAAAGACGGAAAGAAAGAAAGAUGAUCUCCAUGUUUUCACGGGCAACAGGAAUAAAUUUGAGAAAGCGACCUCUUUAGGAUUUCUCCACGACCCCGGCCAGAAGACGCCAGAGUCUCCGAGCGUCACGGUCUGAUCCUGUAACCUCUGGCUGUAUAUAACCAGCGGCUGGAUAUCCAAACAUAAAUCAUGAACGUCUUUAACCACAUAAAGAACAGAAGAGAGAGCGAGAUGACACUCUACAAAUGUUUUAACAAUAAAAUAACAUACGACAUACCGUACACAACAUGUGAAUUGUCUGUCCCUGAAUGCCCUCCAUCCUUUAACAUGUGGGAAAAAACAAACAAACAAAAAGAAUGAAAAUAGGUGGCAGGGAUUAGGAGGAGAGAAAUAACAUAUUAAAAGAGAAUGAGAUGUAAUAA